AUUGAACGCUAGCUACAGGCUUAACACAUGCAAGUCGAGGCACCGGCGCGCGUGUGAGUAACACGUAUCCACCGUGCUCUUUACUCGGGGAUAGCCUUGCGACGGCAACUUUAAUACCCUAUAUAUAGGAUGGGUAUGCGUUCUAUUAGGUUGUUGGUGAGUUAACGGCUCACCAAGCCUUCGAUGGAUAGGGGUUCUGAGAGGAAGGCGCCCCAAGUUGGAAAUGGGACACGGUGCAAACUCCUACGGGAGGCAGCAGUGAGGAAUAUUGGUCAAUGGGAGUUAGCCUGAAACAGCCAAGUAGCGUGAAGGAUGAAGGCUUAUGGGUCGUAAACUUUUUUUAUAUAAGAAUAUGUAUUAUAUGAAUAAGGAUCGGCUAACUCCGUGCCAGCAGCCGCGGUAAUAC
rnacentral:rRNA from 1 species